GUGUCAGCCGCCGCGGUAAUACAGAGGGGGCAAGCGUUAUUCGGAAUUAUUGGGCGUAAAGGGCGCGUAGGCGGCUUUGCAAGUGGAAGGUGAAAUCCCUCGGCUCAACUGAGGAACUGCCUUCCAAACUGCUUUGCUUGAGUCCGGGAGAGGUGAGUGGAAUUCCCAGUGUAGCGGUGAAAUGCGUAGAUAUUGGGAGGAACACCAGUGGCGAAGGCGGCUCACUGGACCGGAACUGACGCUGAGGCGCGAAAGCGUGGGGAGCAAACGGGAUUAGAAACCCCAGUAGUCC
rnacentral:rRNA from 1 species